rnacentral:rRNA from 1 species
ACUCCUACGGGAGGCAGCAGUGGGGAAUAUUGCACAAUGGGCGGAAGCCUGAUGCAGCAACGCCGCGUGCGGGAUGACGGCCUUCGGUUGUGAAAUCCGCAUUUCGCCUGUGACGAAGCGUGAGUGACGGUAAUGGGUAAAGAAGCACCGGCUAACUACGUGCCAGCAGCCGCGGUGAUACGUAGGGUGCGAGCGUUGUCCGGAUUUAUUGGGCGUAAAGGGCUCGUAGGUGGUUGAUCGCGUCGGAAGUGUAAAUCUUGGGGCUUAACCCUGAGCGUGCUUUCGAUACGGGUUGACUUGAGGAA